UACAGUCCAACGGUCUGGAUUGGUUAGAAAUGCGAGGACAUAUGAACAUGGCUAAGGCUAUGGAUGAGCUGCUAAAGUACAGGACGCAGUCUGACU